rnacentral:lncRNA from 1 species
ACACUUUUAUAAACAACUGGGUUUAUAUACAAAAGGAGUCUAGAUAAAAACCAACAAAAUGAUCGACACUCAAAAGAAGCUAUCCUACAACAUAUUAGUAGGACAUAGACGCCGAUCCUUCAGACUCCACCUCCAGGCUUAGAUCCUCCACGCACCAUCUAAGGACCUAAAAAUGGUUAUACAAUAACCAGUGAGACAAUGUCUCAGUAAGUCCACCCUUUAAACUCUUAUUAGGAAUAAAAUAUGCCUCAAGGCAAUCUAGCCGCCACAACCACUUGAUUAGAAGAAGGGACUCACCUCGUCUCAGUUCCUUCCUGCAUGUCAGCACAGUUCAUAUCUCAAAUGCAUAUAAUUAAUGCGCACAAUAAUUGAAACGUCUCAACAACUCAAUCAAUCACAAGCGCUCCAAUUGUUAAUAUUUGCCCCUUAAGUUUAGUGUCUACUCGCAUAGCCAGGCAUCGUCUCACCGCCAUUGAGCAUGACCACGUCUAUAUCUUAAUAGAUGGCUUCCUCGAAGGGGCGUAGAUCCAGAAUCUACUACGACCCGAGUCACUUACUCAUAAGUUCGGUGACCUUUUGGCGUAGCCAAGCGUCGUCUCACCACCGUUAAGCACAGCGUGUCUACAUCUUAAUAAACGGCUUCCCCGAAGGGACGUAGGUCCAGAAUCUACUGCAACCUACGAUCCAAAGAAUGGAUAUUACAUAUAGGGUAUUGUCCGGCUUAAAAGCUCGAGACGGGUUCUCAUUAACCAACACACGAUCAAUCAAUAUUGGCCCAGGACACCGUGCAUUACACUCAAAUGUCUUCAUUAAAAUGGUGAUCCUGGCUUAUUUUCUUCAUAUUAAAAACACCCGGUGAAAAUAGUCGUGUGUGGAUACACGGUCAAAUCGAACCCGAAAAAUUCAUAUCAUCCAAUUUAAAAUCCCACUGUUUUAUCUAGUAUAUAAAAAUAUUUUCGGUGUUAAAACCCGACACCCAAGAUUUUUUGAAUAAAUAUUGAAAUUCACAAUUUUUGGAAUAAAUUACCAAAAAUCCAAUCAGGCUUAAUUUGCACAAAUUAACAUCCAAUUGUGAAAAGUGAACACACUACUGCAAUCAGCACAAAAUUUCGGUCACCGACUAUCCUAGUCUAAUUUUCGGAAAAAUAUUUAAUAAUUAAAUAAUUAUCAAAAUUAAUUAAAUAAUUCAAUUAAAUGCCAAAAUAGCUAACCUAGGCCAAAAUUGUAAAAUUAAAUACCAAGACGAGCCCAUAAAAUUCCUAAACUAGUUUAGAUAAUUAAUACAACCUAUCUAGGCCUUAUUUAACUUAAUUUAACAACUUAACAUGCAAGAUUGGAUAUUUAAAUAACUAAUCUAAUUUAACUAACCAUCUAAACCUUAAUUAACUUAAUCUAAUUACCCUCUAAGUAUAAUUAACUUAAUAAUCGAGGUUUAAUGAGUUAACUCACUUGAUUUGCGAUCCCGCUCGGACCAAAACGAUGGGGACGCGAUGAUGAUCGAUAAGUCUCAAAGCGGCGACGCCAACAGGGCUCGGAUUGAGCCCGAAAAUUGGCCCAAGGAAGCCCACGGUUUCUGCUCGGAUCUCUGCAGCUGAAAUGGAGAAUUCAUGUAGAUGUUGACCAAGUGGAGCGCGGCAUGCGAAGCUGAGAGUUGGCUGGGCUUCGAACGGCAGACAAACUUGGAGGAGAUGGCCGAACGGCAGCAGCUUCGGACAUGGGCAGCUAGCGCUCGGUGGAGAUGGAGUGGUCAACAAAGAGCUUCGGUGACACUGAAGUUUGACCGAAGGGGCUAGCUCACAGACAAGUGUCCGUGGAUGAAGGGAAGAAGAAGCAAAUUUUGGUGAGUGGAGAUGGUCGUAGGGGGCAGCUUCGAAGGGAAAUUGAAGGGAAAUUAAAGAAAACAAACCAGAAGUAGAGAGAGAGAGAGAGAGAGAGAGAGAGGUUCGAUUGUUUGGCGUGAG